UAGUACGGCGAGUGAGAGGGAAGAGCCCAAGAUUGAAAGCUGGCGUCUUCGGCGUCCGCAUUGUAAUCUCAAGAAGUGUUUUCCGCUUCGGACCAAGCCUAAGUCCCCUGGAAAGGGGCAUCAUAGAGGGUGAUAAUCCCGUACAUGGCUUGGAGCGCCCGAGGCUUUGUGAUACGCUUUCUAAGAGUCGAGUUGUUUGGGAAUGCAGCUCAAAAUGGGUGGUAAAUGCCAUCUAAGGCUAAAUAUUGGGGAGAGACCGAUAGCGAACAAGUACAGUGAUGGAAAGAUGAAAAGAACUUUGAAAAGAGAGUUAAACAGUACGUGAAAUUGCCAAAAGGGAAGGGUAGGAGGUCAGAGAUGCGGCCUGGGAUUCAGCCUUGCUUUUGCUUGGUGUUUUUCCCAGAUUGCAGGCCAACGUCGGUUUUGGGCACUGGAGAAGGGUAGGAGGAACGUGGCACCCCUCGGGGUGUGUUAUAGCCUCCUACUGGAUACAGCGACCGAGACCGAGGACAGCAGCGUACUCGCAAGAGCGGGCCUUCGGGCACCUUUACGCUUAGGGCGUUGGCAUAAUGGCCCUCUACCACCCGUC
rnacentral:rRNA from 1 species